rnacentral:rRNA from 1 species
UCCCAUUUCAUUCUACAGUUUCAAAAAUGAGGAGGCAUUCGUUUGCUUAGAGGUACAAUUUCUCGAACCUAUUCCAGCAAUUCCCCUGGACGGCACACCAACACCAGUGAAAUUGCUGUCGUCGCCCAAUCCCUCCCCAAGCCACCUCUCCCCCUCUGUCCAGAGCAACUACAUCGCACACCCUCUGAAUUCAGACAAAAAUUCAGAAGAAAACAGGACUUACCGGAGGCCGAGUUCCGCGCCUGCGCCGCCCACGGGGAUGGCGCCGCCGAAGGGUAGGACGCCAGGACACGUAGCUCCGCACCUCCGCUGCCUACGGCGCUAGAGUCCGCCGUCCACGGCGCAGCCAGGAGACGCUCGUGCCGCCACAUCGUCGAUCACCACCACCUGCGACAUCCCUUACCGUAGGUCAUCAUCAGGACCCACAGCUCCUCCGUCACAUCUCCUCACCGCCGUCACCACCUCGAGCUCCCCGCGCUCGCGCUCGAGCUCCCGCCGGGAUACAUGCCGCGGGCAUCGGUCGUAGCAUAGCCCAGCGGCAUCCUCCGCCUCCUCCCCCAUCCCCGAAGUCCAGCCUCGCUGGUCGCCUCCAUCGAAGCCACGACGCGCGAGCUCGGCUCCACUUGUCCUCCUCGAACGUCCGUCGUGGACGCACUCCUCCUCAAGCGGUGGAGAAGGAGGGAGCCACGUACGGCGGCGAAAGAGGUUGGGCGCCGAUAGCCGCGACCAGAGGAGGGGAGCUGAUGGAGACAUCAGAGGGACGAGCGGCGCUGCCGGUGGAGCGCGGGGGGUGAACACGCCGCCGGGGGAGAAGAAUCCCGCGCGGGGAGGUGGGCGGGCGGUCGGCGUUGGAAGUGAGUGGGGAUAGACAGGAUAAAGGAGCUGGG